UACGUAGGUGGCAAGCGUUAUCCGGAAUUAUUGGGCGUAAAGCGCGUGUAGGCGGUCCGGUAAGUCCGCUGUGAAAGUCGGGGGCUCAACCCUGGAAAGCCGGUGGAUACUGUCGGGCUAGAGUCCGGAAGAGGCGAGUGGAAUUCCUGGUGUAGCGGUGGAAUGCGCAGAUAUCAGGAGGAACACCGAUGGCGAAGGCAGCUCGCUGGGACGGUACUGACGCUGAGACGCGAAAGCGUGGGGAGCAAACAGG
rnacentral:rRNA from 1 species